UCCUAAUGUCCAGAGGACAAAUUGUUCUCACCCAGUCUCCAGCAAUCAUGUCUGCAUCUCCUGGGGAACGGGUCACCAUGACCUGCAGUGCCAGCUCAAGUGUGUCCAUCUACUAGAUGAAAAAUAGAAAAGAAUAUGAAACUACAAAAUGACCCACGACUUCUAACCCUUGAAGGAACCCGAUUUCGACCUGAAUGUGCGGUAUAUGAGGAGUUUUAGAGCAUUCCUUGGUUUCUGCUGAUAACAAGCUAAUGAUAUAUUAAUCUCCUAACUUGUCAUGCAAUUAAUGGUGACUCCUGUACUUAUGCGGAUGAGUGGGAUGGGGAUUGGGUCAACUUGAUGCCAAAUAUUGUGCUUGUAAUUGGAAUCAUACAAACAAUAUACUUGUUUAAUCAAGACAAAAAUGAUUUCUCUGAAGUUCCAAGUCAUGAUUGCAAAUGGUUAAAGAAUACACAUAGUCAUCCUUCAAUAAUUGCGAUCAAAAUCAGCAAGGACACCAAAAACUGGGAGGGAAGCUUUAUGACUGUACUGUAACCAGACAUUGAUUGACUCCUGGAUAGGGUACAACAAGACCAACAAACAGUUCCAAGUGAGAAUAGUGGACCGAACCAAAUAAUCAGGGCCUGGGAAGGGCUAAUUUUU
rnacentral:lncRNA from 1 species